GACGAACGCUGGCGGCGUGGAUUAGGCAUGCAAGUCGAACGGUAGGAUACCUUCGGGUAUCUGAGAGUGGCGAACGGGUGAGUAACACGUAGGUGAUCUACCCUCAAGAUUGGGACAACCCAGGGAAACUUGGGCUAAUACCGGAUGAAAGCAGCAGUGAUGUUGUUUGAAAGGUGGCGUAAGCUGCCGUUUGGGGAUGAGCCUGCGCUCUAUUAGUUAGUUGGCGGGGUAAAGGCCCACCAAGGCGAUGAUAGAUAGGCGGCCUUAACGGGUGGUCGCCCACACUGGGAUUGAGAUACGGCCCAGACUCCUACGGGAGGCAGCAGUCGAGAAUAGUCUACAAUGGCCGAAAGGCUGAUAGUGCGACGCCGCGUGAACGAAGAAGCCCUUCGGGGUGUAAAGUUCUUUUAUAUGUGAGCAGUGCUUUCUAUGUGAACAGCAUGGGGAGAGAGAUAUUAGCAUAUGAAUAAGCAACGGCUAACUCCGUGCCAGCAGCCG
rnacentral:rRNA from 1 species